UACGUAGGGUGCGAGCGUUAAUCGGAAUUACUGGGCGUAAAGCGUGCGCAGGCGGUCUGUUAAGACCGAUGUGAAAUCCCCGGGCUUAACUUGGGAAUUGCGCUCGAAACUACGUGGCUCGAGUAUGGCAGAGGAAGGUGGAAUUCCACGUGUAGCGGUGAAAUGCGUAGAGAUGUGGAGGAACACCGAUGGCGAAGGCAGCCUUCUGGGCCAAUACUGACGCUCAUGCACGAAAGCGUGGGGAGCAAACAGG
rnacentral:rRNA from 1 species